AUGACAGCCAGACAAAAAUGCCCGCGACCCCUCGGAAUUCCACACAUAGCUCUCAUAGCUGGGGAGGGCGCCACUCCGGGCCACUCCGGGAGCCCGCACCCCAGCGGCCUGCGCCGGCUCCUUACGAGAAGAGGAAGAGUGCCCUGCCGGUGGAGGCUUCCAAAAGUUGGCGGGCUGGGAUGCGUAGCAGGAAAAGAAUGUGAAAAAUGUGCCUGGCGGGGCGGCGGCCAGGAGGGAAGGGCCUUCGAGGAGCGGCUCGCGGGCCCAGGGUGCUGGUGGCCUGAAGGCGGUGUGGCUGAGGACCCCUCCUGGCAGCACCAGCCCCCCCCCCGCUGUUAAAAGGAGGGAGGUCAGGGAUGAGGUCUGGGCUGCGGGGAACCGUGUUUCUGCACCCAGGGGGCUCGGGCUUCUGAGAGCCGGGGGGAGGCGGCUGGGGGGUUUCGUGUGGGCAGUUCCAGGCUCCGAAUGUUCCCUGACAGCCCUGGGGCCCCUCGGGGAGGCCCACUCACAUCUCUUCGGCAAGGUGCGAACUCACCAGGCCCAGGGCUGCAGAGGCGGGCCUGAGACUAACUCCCACGUGGGGAAGCAAGGCCAGGGCUGAUGGCACCUGAAAUGAGGUGAGCGGGGCUCCGGAGUCGGUCCUUCCAGGAACCCACCGCUCAACCAUCCCGUGUCUCCCACACAGACACGUCUUCAGGAAGCGGCAGGAGCAUCAACGAGACCCAGCCUCCGGCCCCGGGAGCCCCAGGGCAGCCCUCCUCAGGGCCAGGGUAUGCGUGCCUGUCGGAGAUGAAACAGGUGUGGGGGGCUUCCCUCUACGAUGACCCCCAGUGACUGCGUACGAUCCCCUGGCCUUGAGUGUGGGUGGGACCUGAGUAGAGGAGCCAAGCUCGCUCCAGGGAAAGACUCUGCCAUGUGGCAGCAGCUUUAAGGCGGGGAGACUGCCCUUGGUGGGCCUGAUAGAAUCAGGGGAGCCCCUAAAAGGGUGGAGAAACUAUCUGAAGCUUGGAAGGGAUUUGGUGCAGAGAGAUCCCUGCUGCCGGCUCUGAAGAUGGGGGGCUGGGGCAUGGAAUGGGGGCGGCCGCUAGGAGCUGACAGCCAGCAAGGGAGUGGGGACCCCCAUCCUGCAGUUGCAAGGGGCGGAAUUCUGGAGCAAUCUGAACGGGCCCAGAGACCUCAAGCUCCAGAGGAGACAUUCUGACUUCGGCCUGGUGAGACCCCGAGCCGGGAAACCAGCCACGCCAUGCCCGACCUCUGACCUCCAGACCUGCGAGCCAGCUCCUUUGGGACAGUUUGUCACACAGAGCAGAGCUGGCCCACAGGCCAGGGCGAGGCCGGAACAGGGUCCCCGGACUGGGGCCGGCUUCGCUCUAGCACUCUCUGUGCAGGACGUGGGUCCACAGCCCGGGAUGGUCCCAGCUGGCCUUCGCUCUCACCGCUGAGUGUGGACACUAAGCUCAGCGUGCUGCGUUCACGACUCCUGCCAUUCUCCUCCUUCCCUGCCCAGAGAUGUGGGCACGGCAUCCGAACCAGCGUGGUGCCCCGCAGUGCUCCGUUAGUGGCCGCAGCCAGCCCUGGGGCUCCGGUAGGCUGCGGCGCGAGGGCGCGUGCAGGUCACCUCCGGCCGCACGGCCUCGCGACGCCCAGCUCGGACAGCCCGGCUGCUCCUCUCCAGCCCCCUCACGGGGCCGCCGGGCUCGUGGGGCCGGGACCGGGAGUCAGAGCCCCUGGAAGUUUGGCUGGAAGGGGGUGGGGGCCCUUGGGGCUGCAGAGGCUGGGAGGGCAGGGGGCAGACGCACAGCGACCCCUCGUCUUCAGGGAGAACAGAAAUAGCCUCCAGUUUGCUUUAAAACUUCCAGAACCAGCAACUGUGCAGCUCAGAGCUUCUGAAUCUGUGUCUCCCGGGGACAAGAGGGAGACGCCCGCCCCUGCCAGCCAUCACUUGGGAAGAAAAAACCCAAACCCAAGAAACACUAAGGGGCAGCCGGAUUCUAGGGGGGCGGGGGGCACAGUGCUGGGGGGGGAAUGCAGCCCCCACCCCCCUCCGCCGGGGAGGACUGCUCCUGGGUACACGGCGUGCGGAAGGAGAGACAGGGUGUUGAUGUCGACAGAGGAAAAAAUCCCAAAGCAAACAGAGGGAGACAGAAGAGGGGGCGAGGAAGCUCCGAGGUGCCGGCCCAAGAAGCCGCCCCCUCACAGGGCCUGUGGGUGGCACAGUCACUUAGAUCAGCGCCCGCGGUGCGUGAGGCCCUGGCCCCGCACGCCUCCAGGGGUAGCCUUCGCACUGUAGUGCUGUCGUGAGACCCCCUGGAACAGGGACCCUCACCCAGGGGGACCGCGCCCCCAGGGGACACUGGGAGGUGCCCGGGGACGUCUGUGGUCCUCACGACUAGGGGUGCUCCUGGCACCGAGGGGGGGGCCAGGGAUGCUGCUGACCCCCCCUGCAGCGCCAGGGAUGCCCCCGGCGGAGAGGACCUGCCCAGAUUGUCAGCAGCGUUGGGGGCAGCCGGGGGAGACCCUGUGCCAGACUCCAGAGAAACGUGCACACGGCGAGGACAGCACAGCCUGGACACAGGCCAGAAAGUCAGAGGGAGGGGCAAGUGCCUCCCUGUGUCCCCAGAAGCUGGGCUGGGGUCACGCCACAGUGGGGACCUCCGAAGAGCCCCGGGAGCCAUGUUGGCAUUUGAACUUCAAUACUAGGCAGACACAAAACCUCUUUAACCCCCAACCCUGGCCUCCGCCACCCACCUCUGAAGCCCGUCCGAGGUUCCAAGCACUGGGUCCCCCACCCCCCUCCCGCGGCCUCUCCGGGGUCACAGUCACCCUGGCCUGGUGUGGGGCGGGCCGGCCACGUGAGGGCCUCCUCUGAGCCUUUGUGCAUCCGUGACCUUUUGGUGGGGUGGGGGGCAGGGAAGCUCCAGUUGGGAUUUUGCCAGGUGGAUGUUUCCCAAGAGAAGCCACGGACCCCUUGGAAAACAGCGUCUCGUGACUCCCCUGUCAGCCUGGUCCUUUUGUGCGCGGGCUAAAUCGGUCCCCCGGGCGGCUAUAUUUAGAAAGGGCUGGGGACUCGGGAAUGAAUGAGGUGCCCACAGGCGAGGGAAAAACAGCGCUGCAGGGCACACGGUGCUGCCGGGGGCUGAGAGCGCAGCGCCCAAGAAUGAGCCGGCUUGUGGGCGCGGGUGGUGACCAAGGGUGACGAUGUGGCUGAUGCGGGAGCAGAAGAGAAGGCUCCCUCUGUCACCGGGCGAUGACUGCAGUCAUGUGAGGGUUUGCAAGCCCGAUGGCUGGGCCGGGACACUGAGCACUCCUGCCCUUGGCCUCUGAGCACUGAGGAAGCGCCGUCACCCAGGCCCCGUGAGGGGCAGGAAGGCCGGGGGUGGGGGGAGGGCAGACGCAGCCUUCCCACCUUGGUUCGGGCAGGUCCUUCCCCCCAACCCCCCACGCGCGGACGAACUCCUACAUCCCCCACAAAGCCCUGGGAACAUCAUCCCCUCUGAGAAGGUGCCCAGCCAGUCUGCGCAAGAACCCUUCUUGGGGUGUCCUCAGCUCCGUGGACGCUCCCUGGGCCCUUUAUGCAUUCCCUGUGGUCACUGUCACAAAUGACCACCAACUUGGUGGCUUCAGACCUCACACAUAUAUUCUCUGACCAUUUUGGGGGUCAGAAAUCUGACAUGAGCCUCCCGGGGCUAAAACCCCGGCGCGGGCAGGGCUGGUCCCCCCGGGGCCCCCGGGAGACCCGGCUCCGGCCUCUUCCUGGCCCGCGGCCCCCCCUCCAUCCUCACCGCCAGCAGCGCGGGGUCUGCCCGUCUCUGGGACUCCCACCCUCUGCCUCCCCCUCGUGAGGACGCCGGGCGCCCCGGGAACCCAGGGUCACCCCCUCCUCGGGGGCCGUGACUUGCUCGCCCCUGCAAGUUGCCCUCUGCGUGGCAGGCAUCUAUUCACAGGUUCCAGGGGCCAAGAUGGGGGCUCCUGGGCACCUCGACUCCUCUCUGCUCUGCAGAAGGGGGGCACAUGCGCAGGAGGACGGGCCUCAGACCUGGACCGUCAGUGGCAGCUCCUUGCUCUCGGACGCUGGGUCGCUGGCCAACACCCAGCCCCUGAAGGCUGCGCACCGCAUCACAGAGCAUCUGUGAAGUCCCCAGGGAUGUCCCACUCCACCUCUGCUGUGGCUGGAAAGUCCGGGGACAAAGCAGACGCAGAGGGGCUCUUCCUAAGGGCUGUCACUGGGGGCAUUUUGCAUGUUAACAAGGAAGAACAACAGAAACAAACAGCCCAUAGUGGGACUGACUGAAUAGUUUCAGACUUUCCUGGUGUGGGGGGCGCGGAGUCUACAGUGGGGUCUUGCUGGGGUGACUCUGUGGUCAUCACAAGUGGGGGGCUCCUGGCAUUGAGGGGUGGGGCCAGGCAUGCUGCUCAGCCCCCACAGUGCCCGGAAUGCCCCGCAGGGAGGGCCCCAGCCCAGGGUCCGCGGUGCCGGCGAGGAGACCUGGUCUAGGGAUAUCCAACCCCACAAGGCAGCUUUCCCAUGAAAUCUGUGUUCGGUGUUGGUCCCUCCGGGGUCAGAGGAGAAGGCCAGCUCCCAGUACCUGCUCCUGGUGCACUCCCCAUGAAUCCUUGGUGUCCAGGCGGGUCAGAACUCCUGAGGGGCCCCAGAUGCCCCCGCGGUGCAGACAGGAGGGUCUGGGGGGGCCUUUCUCUGCACUACAGCAAAGCAUCAGGAUGUCUGCAUGGAACCCCCCACCUGAGUGCUAACCCACGUGGGUCUGGAUGGACGUGUGACCCCGUAAACAGAGUAAAGGGACAGAGAAGUGAGAGGCCCAGCCCGGGAGGCCAGCUCCGGCCAGUGCAGGCAAGGGGAGGGCUUGGCAAGGCCUCAGCCACGGGGCGGCUGGGCCGCACGCUCGUCGGGGGCGUGGACAGGGAGCAAAGGACCUGCGUCAGCCACGUGGUGCUAAGAGUGGGGUUUUGCUGUCUCUUACGAAACCUUCCAGAGAAGGACACCGCCGCAGGAGCCGUGGGCCCCAGCGACUGGGAGGGAGGCAUCUCGGUGCCUGGGUGCCCAUGGGUGGCCAUGGCCGGCCGUGGGGUGCCGGGUGCCAGCGCUGGGUUUGUGGGAAACCUCUUCUGGGAGUGAGUUCAUCUCCACUCCAGUGGCCUCUGCCCCAAGAUGAGGUUUCGAUGACCCGCGUGGAAUUUCUAACAAUGAGAUCGAGUGUCUGGUUCUGCUCACGCUGACAUCCCCUUUCUCAACCGUCCAAAUUCCAUUACGCCUUUUCUUGUUACUGCAGGAAGGCAGCCAAGCCCGGGGCUGCCCAGGGAGUGCCGAGUCUCCUGUGACUCUGGCUGGGAGGGGACGUGGCUGCCGGCGGCCUCGGUGCCCCAGCCCUUGGAGUCUCCGCAGGACCCGGGACACACAGGAAGCGGAGAACGCACAGAACGCAUGAGCCUGAUCUUGCGGGAUCCGCACGGGACUUCCACAGAUGGCGGAGACUCCUGCAUUUCUGUCCCCACCCGUGAGAUCUUCCUUGCUGGCGUGGCCAGGGACGGCUGUGUUUAGGAAGCCCACGCGGCAAGGAGCGGGGGGUGAGCCCCAGGAGCCGACGGCCGCCCCAGUGACCGGCAGCAGGCACCCCGAUGCACAGCCCCACAGCUGCAAGGAAGUGAGCUCUGCUAGCACCCCGAGGGAGUCUCCAGAUCCCUGACGAAAAUCAUCGGUCUCAGAAGAAACAGCUGUGUGUCCUGUUCGGGGAGGAAGCCCACGGCCACACAGAACCGGGAGGGAGCCCAAGUGUGUCCGAGAAGGAACCAAGCCAGCGAAUAUGGAGAUCUGCUAGUCGAUCAAUUCCAGGCCAAAGAGCCGUCUGCAACGAAACACUCCUCACCGGGCCGGGCUCUUGGCUGCAUUCCAGAGCAAACUGCCGGGUACACCAGCGGACCUCUCUGUGACCAGCGCAGGCGCCCAAUGGCCCGGGGCUCCCCGCCUCACCGGACGGCUCGCCGGCCACAGUCCUGCCUCCUCCCCUGCUGCCCCCGAGCACGGGGGCCCCGCCUGCGCCCACAUGGGUCCCACGCCUGCACCGGGAGGGACACGGUCCCCUUCACGCCCGCCACGCCAAGGCAGAGACCAGGCGGAGCCAGGAUCCCGCCCCGUGUCCGAACACUCACACCUGCUGUUUCAGGCGUUUGGGAAGGCCUAUCGGCCAUGCCCUCAGCAUAGGCACGCGAUGCCGGGGCGCAAGAAGGCCCUGGCCGCGAUUCCAGCACUGCGACCCCUCCGCGGCACGCUGGGUCUUCCGCCUCUCUUCCCUACACCACUUCUUUUUAGCAGCUUUAGAGAUGUCAGCUCAGAAACCACACCACUCACCAUUUAAAAUAUACAAUUCGACGUUUUUU